rnacentral:rRNA from 1 species
GGCUCAGACGAACGCAGGCGGCGUGCCUAAUACAUGCAAGUCGAGCGGAGCACUUCGGUGCUUAGCGGCGGACGGGUGAGUAACACGUAGGUAACCUGCCUAUAAGACUGGGAUAACUAUCGGAAACGAUAGCUAAGACCGGAUAACUGGUUUUCUCGCAUGAGAGAAUCAUGAAACACGGAGYAAUCUGUGGCUUAUAGAUGGGCCUGCGGCGCAUUAGCUAGUUGGUAGGGUAACGGCCUACCAAGGCGACGAUGCGUAGCCGACCUGAGAGGGUGAACGGCCACACUGGGACUGAGACACGGCCCAGACUCCUACGGGAGGCAGCAGUAGGGAAUCUUCCGCAAUGGACGCAAGUCUGACGGAGCAACGCCGCGUGAGUGAUGAAGGUUUUCGGAUCGUAAAGCUCUGUUGCCCUAGACGAACAGCAAGGCUGAGUAACUGCGCUUUGUGUGACGGUAUAGGAGAAGAAAGCCC